GAUGAACGCUGGCGGCGUGCUUAACACAUGCAAGUCGAGCGGAAAGGCCCUUUCGGGGGUACUCGAGCGGCGAACGGGUGAGUAACACGUGAGUAAUCUGCCUCUGGCUUCGGGAUAGCCACCGGAAACGGUGAUUAAUACCGGAUACGACGCAUCACUGCAUGGUGUGUGCGUGGAAAGUUUUUUCGGCCAGGGAUGUGCUCGCGGCCUAUCAGCUUGUUGGUGGGGUAAUGGCCUACCAAGGCUUCGACGGGUAGCCGGCCUGAGAGGGUGACCGGCCACACUGGGACUGAGACACGGCCCAGACUCCGACGGGAGGCAGCAGUGGGGAAUAUUGGACAAUGGGCGGAAGCCUGAUCCAGCAACGCCGCGUGAGGGAUGACGGCCUUCGGGUUGUAAACCUCUUUCAGCACAGACGAAGCGCAAGUGACGGUAUGUGCAGAAGAAGGACCGGCCAACUACGUGCCAGCCGCCGCCGUAAGAC
rnacentral:rRNA from 1 species